GACGAACGCUGGCGGCGUGCUUAACACAUGCAAGUCGAACGAUGAAGCGGUGCUUGCACCGUGGAUUAGUGGCGAACGGGUGAGUAAUACGUGAGUGACCUACCUUUGACUCUGGGAUAAGCCUGGGAAACUGGGUCUAAUACCGGAUACGACCAAUCUCUGCAUGGGGUGUUGGUGGAAAGCGUUAUGGAGUGGUUUUAGAUGGGCUCACGGCCUAUCAGCUUGUUGGUGAGGUAAUGGCUUACCAAGGCGACGACGGGUAGCCGGCCUGAGAGGGUGACCGGCCACACUGGGACUGAGACACGGCCCAGACUCCUACGGGAGGCAGCAGUGGGGAAUAUUGCACAAUGGGCGCAAGCCUGAUGCAGCGACGCCGCGUGAGGGAUGACGGCCUUCGGGUUGUAAACCUCUGUUAGCAUCGAAGAAGCGAAAGUGACGGUAGGUGCAGAGAAAGCGCCGGCUAACUACGUGCCAGCAGCCGCGGUAAUACGUAGGGCGCGAGCGUUGUCCGGAAUUAUUGGGCGUAAAGAGCUUGUAGGCGGUUGGUCGCGUCUGCUGUGAAGGCCGGGGCUUAACUCCGGUUUUGCAGUGGGUACGGGCUAACUAGAGUGCAGUAGGGGAGACUGGAAUUCCUGGUGUAGCGGUGGAAUGCACAGAUAUCAGGAGGAACACCGAUGGCGAAGGCAGGUCUCUGGGCUGUAACUGACGCUGAGAAGCGAAAGCAUGGGGAGCGAACAGGAUUAGAUACCCUGGUAGUCCAUGCCGUAAACGUUGGGCACUAGGUGUGGGGGACAUUCCACGUUUUCCGCGCCGUAGCUAACGCAUUAAGUGCCCCGCCUGGGGAGUACGGCCGCAAGGCUAAAACUCAAAGGAAUUGACGGGGGCCCGCACAAGCGGCGGAGCAUGCGGAUUAAUUCGAUGCAACGCGAAGAACCUUACCAAGGCUUGACAUGCAUUAGAUCGCGUCAGAGAUGGCGUUUCCCUUCGGGGCUGGUGUACAGGUGGUGCAUGGUUGUCGUCAGCUCGUGUCGUGAGAUGUUGGGUUAAGUCCCGCAACGAGCGCAACCCUCGUUCUAUGUUGCCAGCGGUUCGGCCGGGGACUCAUAGGAGACUGCCGGGGUUAACUCGGAGGAAGGUGGGGAUGACGUCAAAUCAUCAUGCCCCUUAUGUCUUGGGCUUCACGCAUGCUACAAUGGCCGGUACAGAGGGUUGCGAUACUGUGAGGUGGAGCUAAUCCCUUAAAGCCGGUCUCAGUUCGGAUUGGGGUCUGCAACUCGACCCCAUGAAGUCGGAGUCGCUAGUAAUCGCAGAUCAGCAACGCUGCGGUGAAUACGUUCCCGGGCCU
rnacentral:rRNA from 1 species